UGUAUUUCAUGUAUACAGCUUGCUAGUCCUUUGUUACCAGGUGUUGGCUGGAGUGAUACAGUGUAGCGUUUUGCUAUGUGAACAACUUGUAUGAGGUUCUAACUGUUUCCUGAGCCUUUUUAAAAAGGAUACUUUAUCUUUCCAGUUUGGCUAAAGGGUGAACUAACUGAUAACAGAUGCCACUAAGUCUUUAGCUUCAGUAGCAGUUUUACUGGUAGAAUGAUAACAGGAAUUCCGAUGG
rnacentral:lncRNA from 1 species